CAUUUUGCCUAACCGUUUGUUCCGUCGAACAAUCGCCUGGGAAUGAUUGUUUCCGUUCCCAUAAUGUCGAAGAGAUCACGCGAGGAUGUCUUUCGAUCGAAUGUCUCCAUGUCGCACGCGUCAGUCAGCGUGACGGUGCCAUCGAGGAAGGCGAAGACGCGCGCGGGACGGCGGAUCAUCGCCUCGCGUGUUGGCCUUCUGUGUUUAUACGAUAUAUGUACACGGCAAAAAGCGCUCGCGAAAGAGAAAGAGUGAAAAAUGUAUAUGCGAGAGAAGGGAAAAAGUGGAAUUUAUUCCUCUGGAAUAGAAAAAUCCCUCAGGAAUGGUGAAAAAUACGAUGCCUGCGGGAUGGAAUAAUAAUCGCGAGACCCAGAAAGAGUUAUCGGAGGAAAAAGAGGACUGAAAGAUGCGCAAACAUAGGAGUAUUGAAGCGAAAGUUAUGACACGAGAUAUAAGGAGAACGAGGAGUAAACAAACGCGUAUAAUCAACCCGUGGAAUAAAGUGUCCUCGCAAUUAUAAUCGCGAGGGAGUCUGCGGGAGCAAUUAAAUGGGAUUGGAUGAAGACUUCUGCAAAAAAAAUCGGUCCCUUUUUUUUUCCACUCAUGAAAGCUGUUUCAAAGCGGAAAAGGUUUAUGUGGUCGUGAAGUACCCUCUGUCGUGUCCCGGCCAUAGGAAGGACGUAGUAAGAGAAAGCGGAAAGAAAAAGAAGGAGAACUGCACCGCGCGAGGAUGAAAAGAGGGCUUGCAAUUGUGUAUGCGUACACAUAAAUGUUGUAUGCGUGUGUGUGCGCGCAAAAGGAGAGAAGGAGAGCGCGAUAUAGGGGCAGCUGAUCUAAACAUAGAGCACGCUCGAAAUAUAACGAGGCACAACCUUAUAGCCAAGAUAGAGAGACGGAAACAGAGAGAGAGAGAGAGCAUGUUAAAAGCAUCGGCAGUUCACAAAAAUGUGAGAUGCCACAACCGAGGGAAUCCAGCCGCCGAUAGCUGUCCUCUUCCUGCGCGCCGCGGCGCCAAUUUUCCUCCGACGUCAUCGCCAGGAACGGCGGUCGCGUCGUGGCUUGAAUUUAUGAGAAUAAAAUAUUCAACUGCCUCCGUUUGACAAUAACGUCGGCAACAUUGUACAGCAAACUCGGGGGACAAGAGAUGAAAAUUCACGUAGGUAGCAACGAAAGGAAAGCCAGUAGAGAGACGAGGGCGAUAUUAA